AAAACCUCAGUUCCCAGGCAGCUUCCAGAAGCUGUGGCAUUGCUGUGGCCUGAGGCCUGGACUUUCCCAGGGGAUAGGUAUCCAGAUCGUUUGUGCCCUUCCAUAUCACCUUUCAUUCAGAGGCCUUACCUGGAUUGGUAGCCAAGCAUUGAUACUCAUGCCUCCCCAAAGAGAGCUCGUGGCACAGAGGAAAAUGGACAUAAGGUAGCGGUAACAGGCUGGCGACUGUGGCUUUUACACAUUGCUUCACACAACCCUGUCCAGGAGUUUUACACACUCACUAAACAAACAGAAGACACCAUCCAAUUCACUGGAGCCCCGUUGGAUAAAUACGGAAAGAAUGUGGGAGCUAUGUCAUGAACCACAAUGGUUUUGUGUUCUGUGUAAUUUGAAGACGAGAUUCCUUUGCUGUGUGUCACCUCCCAUAUUACCACUGUCGCCCAACAUUUCAUAACCAUCAACUCUUUGCCAGUGCCCACAUGCAAAGAUGGGUUUGUAUUAAAAAAUAAAUGAGAACAGCACAUUCUGAUGUGGUGUAGUAUAUCAGCAUUUUCCAUGAAACCUCGUCUCCGGCCUUCCCCUUUUAGGAAACAAAGGACCCGUGACAGAGCCUACUUAUCCCGUUACAGCUCCUGGUGAGAAGGGCGAAGCCAUGUCAGAAAUAAUAGAAAAGGCUUUUUCCUUUGAAAUAUCUAAACGUUCAAAGAUGGGAACAGCCGCAGGGGGGAGAAUACUGUGCUAUGCAAGUUGAUCUGAUUUUGUGGACCAUCCAUUUCCAAUUGGGAAGCUCACUUACUUUCAACUUGAAGCAUCAGAAAACCAGACUUACAGCAGCUUCAGCCUAUAGGGGUUUAUUUUUCUCAUGUAACAAGAAGAACAGAAGUGGACAGAGGCCGAGUUCUCAAGGACUCAGUUUCUUUCUGUCCCACCAACCUUACCAUGUUGGAUUGUCAUCUUUGUGCUUGUUGCCUCAUGAUGGCAAGAUGGCUGCAGCACCUCUGGGACUCACGACUGAUUUUUAAGCUCAAUCAUCCGGCCUUGUGAGAGACGCCCACAUGCUGAAGAGCCUUUCUGCAGUUCUGCAUUGAACUCUUCAUGUGGCCCCAUCUAGUAAUGAGUGCGAGUGGAGAUGCCAAGGAGGGCAACGCAGAUGCAUCCGAGAUGCCAAAGAAAGGCUUUCACACACAAAGUGACUCCCUGCCCUUGGAUGUGUUUGCAUCCUCACAUCCUUCUCAUCCCUACGUUCCUACUACUGCAGUCACACCAGCUCCUAGGCUCUGCCUUGGACAGAACCCAGUUUCCUGGAAGGAACAAGUUCUCUGCAGUCGGC
rnacentral:lncRNA from 1 species